rnacentral:piRNA from 1 species
GUGCUGUCUGUUUGUGAACACUUCCU